AUAAAGAUAAGCUAAUUUUAAGCUUUUUGGUUCAUACCCUUAAUAUAGAAAAUAAUUCUUCUUUAUA
rnacentral:tRNA from 1 species